rnacentral:rRNA from 1 species
GCGGGGAUGAAGCCUUUCGGGCUGUAAACCGCUUUCAGCAGGAACGAAAAUGACGGUACCUGCAGAAGAAGGAGCGGCCAACUACGUGCCAGCAGCCGCGGUGACACGUAGGCUCCAAGCGUUGUCCGGAUUUAUUGGGCGUAAAGAGCUCGUAGGCGGUUUAGUAAGUCGGGUGUUAAAACUCUGGGCUCAACCCGGAGAGGCCAUCCGAUACUGCUGUGACUUGAGUUCAGGAGGGGAGCGGGGAAUUCCUAGUGUAGCGGUGAAAUGCGCAGAUAUUAGGAGGAACACCGGUGGCGAAGGCGCCGCUCUGGACUGAAACUGACGCUGAGGAGCGAAAGCAUGGGUAGCAAACAGGAUUAGAUACCCUGGUAGUCCAUGCCGUAAACGGUGGGCACUAGGUGUGGGUUCCAACUAACG